AUGGGACUUGGCACAGUUGCAGCGAUGUGGUCUUAUCUCUGUCAGCGCUAUCAGCCCUCUGGUGAUGCUCUCUACCUAUCUGUGGUGCGUCAGGAGAACGCACUCCGGCAAGGUGAUUCUUCUAUUGAUGAGUUCUAUUCACAAUGCUCUGCCAUCUGGCGCCAGCUUGACUCUCUUCGGACAGUUGUUUGUGGAACCUGUCGUUGCUGUCAGACUACUCGGUCUGAUCUGGAGUUUCAGCGGGUCCAUGAGUUCUUAUCUCGCCUCCAGUCUAAGUUUGAGCCUCGCCGUGCUCACUUGCUUGCUCGUGGUCGUGUUCCUAUCUCAGAGAUACUUGCUGAGCUUCGUGCUGAGGAGACCCGCCUUCGCUCUGCUAGGUUGCUUCUGGUUCCGUCAGUACUGGCCGCUCGGGCUCCUGCCUCGUCUACUCGCCUUACUGCUCCGCCCCUCCUGCCUACUCCUCCAGGGGGGUGA
rnacentral:rRNA from 1 species